rnacentral:rRNA from 1 species
GACGAACGCUGGCGGCGCGCCUAACACAUGCAAGUCGAACGAGGUCUUUUAGAAGCUUGCUUCUGGCUGACCUAGUGGCGGACGGGUGAGUAACACGUGAGCAACCUGCCCUACAGAGGGGGAUAACGUCUGGAAACGGACGCUAAUACCGCAUAACGUAUCGGAGUGGCAUCGCUCUGGUACCAAAGGAGAAAUCCGCUGUGGGAUGGGCUCGCGGCCGAUUAGAUAGUUGGUGAGGUAACGGCUCACCAAGUCGACGAUCGGUAGCCGGACUGAGAGGUUGAUCGGCCACAUUGGGACUGAGAUACUGCCCAGACUCCUACGGGAGGCAGCAGUGGGGAAUAUUGGGCAAUGGGCGAAAGCCUGACCCAGCGACGCCGCGUGGAGGAAGAAGGUUUUCGGAUUGUAAACUCCUGUCUUCGGGGAGGAUAAUGACGGUACCCGAGGAGGAAGCCACGGCUAACUACGUGCCAGCCGCCGCAGUAAAAC